rnacentral:rRNA from 1 species
GAUGAACGCUGGCGGCGUGCUUAACACAUGCAAGUCGAACGGAAAGGCCCUGCGUUUGCGGGGUGCACGAGAGGCGAACGGGUGAGUAACACGUGAGUAACCUGUCCCUGACUUUGGGAUAACUUCAGGAAACUGGGGCGAAUACCGGAUAUAAGCUCCUGCUGCGUGGUGGGGGUCGGAAAGUUUCGGCGGUUGGGGAUGGACUCGCUGGUUAUCAGCUUGUUUGUGUGGUAGUUGCUUACCAAGGCUUCGAAGGGUAGCCGGCCUUAGAGGGUGACCGGCGACAUUGGGACUGAGAGACGGACCAGAAUCGUACGGGAGGCAGCAGUGGGGAAUAUUGCACAAUGGGCGGGAGUGAGAUGAAGAGACGCCGCGUGCGGGAUGACGGCCUUCGGGUUGUAAACCGCUUUCGAAUGUGACGAAGCGUGAGUGACGGUAAUGGGUAAAGAAGCACCGGCUAACUACGUG